rnacentral:rRNA from 1 species
AUGUGGCUCAAUCCGCAGCGUGCCCUCGAUGUCAAGACCCGUAUGAGGAUGCCCUUCAUCUCAUCUCCACCUGCUCCUUUGCUACACAAGUUUGGUCCAGCUUGGGCCUGUCUACUCCGACAUCCCUCACUGCUCUUCACCAACACCCACCGAUUCAGGGCCUCAACCCCAACAUCUGAUCAUCGGUGGCCUUGA